rnacentral:lncRNA from 1 species
AAGCACAGCAAACCAUAGGUAGAAGAUAAAUCAAUAUACUUCAUUCAUAUGCACUAAACGCAUUGUAAAAAGGUACAAGUACUGAAAUGGAAUCAAAAAACCAGAAAUAAGAUUUGCAUAAUGGAGUGAGAUAUGAUUACGUUAGUGAUUUUUAAGAGAGUGACCAGAGCUUGUAGAUUUAGUCGUUGAGUUUUGCUUCUCUACCACCACAGCUCCGUCACGCGCGAGGUUCUUGCUCUAGUACUGCUGCCCAUGCACUCUGCAACUUAGCCUUCGACAAUCUACAUCGUCCUUGAAGUCCCGGUGCUCUUACUUCUGAUCCAACAAAACCGAAGGAUCCCUGACCCGACAAAUCUGAAGGAUUAAAAUAAAAUAAAGAGUUCAGUUGUGAACAGCGGUAUGGGCUCCAUCGCACACAACGCUGGGCGUUACUGAUUUAGCAACCGAUGACGGAAGGAGAAUACUCUUCGGAGCUCUAUACCCUGUCCAUGACAUGUCAUUUCUGAAAUCUUAAGAGGAAGUGGUACGUUCUACUAUACUAAUGUGGUAUCAUUUGACCCCGGUGCUGUGAGACAUUAUGCUUGCACAAAACAUCAUUUUUUUCCCGUUUCAACGCACGGGCAUAUGUGCUAGUCAUAAUCAAACCAGCAACAUAGGGUCACCAAAUUUGAGAUUCUUUUUUCAACCGCAUAAAGCAAACAUCAAUAACUGAAUUCCAUUUAAGUAUUGCACAUUGCAGGAUAAAAAGAAAAAGUAAACGGGUAUUACACAUUAUAAACUCACCUUCUUUGUAUCUGUUGGCGGGUUGCUUGACCAAAUUUAGUAAUAUGCAUGCCAACAUGUUAAAAACGUUGAGCACCAAUAAAGCACAGCAAACCAUAGGUAGAAGAUAAAUCAAUAUACUUCAUUCAUAUGCACUAAACGCAUUGUAAAAAGGUACAAGUACUGAAAUGGAAUCAAAAAACCAGAAAUAAGAUUUGCAUAAUGGAGUGAGAUAUGAUUACGUUAGUGAUUUUUAAGAGAGUGACCAGAGCUUGUAGAGUUAGUCGUUGAGUUUUGCUUCUCUACCAC